rnacentral:misc_RNA from 1 species
AGAGAGAGAGGAAUGUCGAGUUUUUAAAACUGCAAGAAAUCUUUUAUUUUAACCAAAAAAGACGACACAUAUCAUAUUUGUAUGAAGGCAUCGGAUGUUUUACGUACUUCAUACGCAGAGCCAUCAUUCUCCGAAUCUCGCCACAACCAACAUAAUACGGCGUUGUUGAGCGGAGUCCUUGCUCUCUUUCUUUGCUUGCCAGUGCUAACAAUGUAGUGUCAAAAGCGAUCAUCUUCUUUUUCAUCGUUUUUAUGAAUGAAAAGACAGGAUUAGUCACAAUAAUGUUAUUCCCUUUAUCAAUUAGAUUCUAUGAUAAUGUUGUGGUGAGAUUUUUUUUUAUUCGGGAUUUAUUUAUGUAAUUUUAUCUUACAGAUGCGCAUGAUAAGCCAAUGAGGAGCUAUUUAUUUGUGUGCUAUAUAUGUGCAAAGCACUUACUUGUGUCAAUCAUCUUUUCAUUUUCUGGAGUGCCAACACACAUACUUAUGUGCACCUAAAUCAAAUUUUGAUUAUCAAUUUCUUAUGAUAGAUACGUACAAUUCACAUUUAAAGGGGGCAAAAUGUCAAGACAUGCAAAAAAUACUGCUCAUUCUCAUUUUUUCAUUGCCAUUAAUUUAUCUCUGUAAUCCAGAGUUUAAACUAAAAUCUUGGAAAGCUUUAUGAUGAAUUUACAUGUAUAUUGCUUUAUCUAUGGAUGAGUAUCGCAGCAUAGAGAAUAGUUGAUGCAGAGUUACUGAAGAAAUCGACGGAACUACUAAGUCACUGCAACAGUGACUAAGGUCUAACUGAAAGCAAUGGUUUGAGGAAAAUAUGAUUGAACUGCAAAAGAAGUUGAUUUUAAUAAUAUUGUAAUGCCAUAUAUUAACAGUACUUGACACAAAAAGGCAGUGACUGCUUUUGUAAGCGUCUUAAGAUUGCAGUUGUUUCAAAGAAAUUAGAUUUAAAUUUUAAACUGGAGGGACGUUGAACUUAUGCUGUUUCGGAAUUUAUUGUCCCUCCUAGGUAGUUGAACUGAAUAUUUGUAAACGGGGGAACUAUUUAAAGAAAGAGAAAAGGAAGGGGUAGCUAAUCACUGAAAUUAUGUGCUGAUAUAUAUUCAACCAAUCAUGUUUUGUUUUUAAUGUGUGCAUGGGGUUGUAUUUUUUUUUACUUUGUUACAAUGUAUUCAUGAAUACUAUGAACUUGCACACGGUUUAGUAAAUACUAGAAAGAAUAUUUAUGAUUCAUUGUAAUUUAUGUUUUUGAUAAGACUUCCCCCCCAACUGGUUGAUGAAUACGUCAUGCUGUAAAUUUUGAAUUUACUGGAUGGGUGUAAAUACAAAAUUUACAAUCAAAAUUUACUACAUGGCAAAUACAUGUGUAUGUAUGAAUUUUUUUUUUCGUUUUCAUAGCUUUAUUGAAUGAAAGAUCGAACGAUGAAUAUUUGUUGUAAAGAUAGAGAAAUGUAUGCAUGUGCUGUGUGUCUCCGGAGAUACUCAUUUAACAUGAAUGAUUUAUAUAAAUUAUGAAUAUAAUG